rnacentral:rRNA from 1 species
CCGGACACGGAUGGGCAUGCGGCGCAUAGGGCAGUAGGCGGGGUAACGGCCCACCUAACCGACGAUGCGUAGGGGUUCUGAGAGGAAGGUCCCCCACACUGGUACUGAGACACGGACCAGACUCCUACGGGAGGCAGCAGUGAGGAAUAUUGGUCAAUGGUCGGGAGACUGAACCAGCCAAGCCGCGUGAGGGAGGAAGGUACAGAGUAUCGUAAACCUCUUUUGUCAGGGAACAAAGACUGGGACGCGUCCCCGGAUGAGUGUACCUGAAGAAAAAGCAUCGGCUAACUCCGUGCCAGCAGCCGCGGUAAUACGGAGGAUGCGAGCGUUAUCCGGAUUUAUUGGGUUUAAAGGGUGCGCAGGCGGUCUGUUAAGUCAGCGGUCAAAGCCCGGGGCUCAACCCCGGCCCGCCGUUGAAACUGGCAGUCUCGAGUUGGAGAGAAGUAUGCGGAAUGCGCGGUGUAGCGGUGAAAUGCAUAGAUAUCGCGCAGAACUCCGAUUGCGAAGGCAGCAUGCCGGCUCCACACUGACGCUGAGGCACGAAAGCGUGGGUAUCGAACAGGAUUAGAUACCCUGGUAGUCCACGCAGUAAACGAUGAAUGCUGGCUGUCCGGGGGGACUGACCCCUGGGUGGCGAAG